rnacentral:rRNA from 1 species
AUACGGAGGGGGUUAGCGUUGUUCGGAAUUACUGGGCGUAAAGCGUACGUAGGAGGACUGGAAAGUUGGGGGUGAAAUCCCGGGGCUCAACCCCGGAACUGCCUCCAAAACUUCCAAUCUAGAGAUCGAGAGAGGUGAGUGGAAUUCCAAGUGUAGAGGUGAAAUUCGUAGAUAUUUGGAGGAACACCAGUGGCGAAGGCGGCUCACUGGCUCGAUACUGACGCUGAGGUACGAAAGCGUGGGGAGCAAACAGGAUUAGAUACCCCAGUAGUCC